CGCGGGGUGGAGCACCCUGGUAGCUCGUCGGGCUCAUAACCCGAAGGUCGUCGGUUCAAAUCCGGCCCCCGCAACCA
rnacentral:tRNA from 1 species